rnacentral:rRNA from 1 species
AUUGAACGCUGGCGGCAGGCCUAACACAUGCAAGUCGAAGGGUAACAGGAAGCAGCUUGCUGCUUCGCUGACGAGUGGCGGACGGGUGAGUAAUGUCUGGGAAGCUGCCUGAUGGAGGGGGAUAACUACUGGAAACGGUAGCUAAUACCGCAUAAUGUCGCAAGACCAAAGAGGGGGACCUUCGGGCCUCUUGCCAUCGGAUGUGCCCAGAUGGGAUUAGCUUGUUGGUGGGGUAACGGCUCACCAAGGCGACGAUCCCUAGCUGGUCUGAGAGGAUGACCAGCCACACUGGGACUGAGACACGGUCCAGACUCCUACGGGAGGCAGCAGUGGGGAAUAUUGCACAAUGGGCGCAAGCCUGAUGCAGCCAUGCCGCGUGUAUGAAGAAGGCCUUCGGGUUGUAAAGUACUUUCAGCGGGGAGGAAGGGAGUAAAGUUAAUACCUUUGCUCAUUGACGUUACCCGCAGAAGAAGCACCGGCUAACUCCGUG